rnacentral:rRNA from 1 species
GACGAACGCUGGCGGCGUGGAUUAGGCAUGCAAGUCGAACGGUAUCAUCCUUUCGGGGGUGAGAGAGUGGCGAACUGGUGAGUAACACGUAGGUUAUCUACCCUCAAGACGGGGACAACCCAGGGAAACUUGGGCUAAUACCGGAUGUGAGCAACUUUUAGUUGUUUGAAAGGUGGCGUAAGCUGUCGCUUGGGGAUGAGCCUGCGUCCUAUUAGUUAGUUGGUGAGGUAACGGCUCACCUAGGCAAUGAUAGGUAGGCGGCCUUAACGGGUGGUCGCCCACACUGGGAUUGAGAUACGGCCCAGACUCCUACGGGAGGCAGCAGUCGAGAAUAGUCUACAAUGGUCGGAAGACUGAUAGUGCGACGCCGCGUGAACGAUGAAUCCCUUCGGGGUGUAAAGUUCUUUUAUAUGUGAGCAGUGCUUCUUAUAUUAACAGUAUGGGGAAGAGAUAUUAGCAUAUAGAAUAAGACAACGGCUAACUCCGUGCCAGCAGCCGCGGU